rnacentral:rRNA from 1 species
GAGUUUGAUCCUGGCUCAGGAUGAACGCUAGCGGCAGGCUUAACACAUGCAAGUCGAACGGUAACAGGAAAAGCUUGCUUUUUGCUGACGAGUGGCGAACGGGUGCGUAACACGUAUGCAACCUACCUUUAUCAGAGGGAUAGCCCAAAGAAAUUUGGAUUAAUACCUCAUAACAUUACCAAUUCGCAUGUUUUGAUAUUUAAAGUAUUGCGGUUAAAGAUGGGCAUGCGCAACAUUAGCUAGUUGGUAAGGUAACGGCUUACCAAGGCAACGAUGUUUAGGGGGUCUUAAAGGAUGGUCCCCCACACUGGUACUGAGACACGGACCAGACUCCUACGGGAGGCAGCAGUGAGGAAUAUUGGUCAAUGGACGAAAGUCUGAACCAGCCAUGCCGCGUGAAGGAUGACGGCCCUACGGGUUGUAAACUUCUUUUAUAUAGGAAGAAACCCCUCGACGUGUCGAGGGCUGACGGUACUAUAAGAAUAAGCACCGGCUAACUCCGUGCCAGCAGCCGCGGUAAUACGGAGGGUGCAAGCGUUAUCCGGAUUCAUUGGGUUUAAAGGGUGCGUAGGCGGAAAAUUAAGUCAGGGGUGAAAGCCCACAGCUCAACUGUGGAAUUGCCAUUGAUACUGAUUUUCUUGAAUCUACUUGAAGUGGGCGGAAUAUGUCAUGUAGCGGUGAAAUGCUUAGAUAUGACAUAGAACACCGAUUGCGAAGGCAGCUCACUAACGUAGUAUUGACGCUGAGGCACGAAAGCGUGGGGAGCGAACAGGAUUAGAUACCCUGGUAGUCCACGCCGUAAACGAUGAUCACUCGACAUUGGCAAUACACCGUCAGUGUCCUAGCGAAAGUGUUAAGUGAUCCACCUGGGGAGUACGAUCGCAAGGUUGAAACUCAAAGGAAUUGACUACCUGGGCUUAAAUGUAUUUUGACAGAUUGGGAAACCAGUCCUUCUUCGGACAAUAUACAAGGUGCUGCAUGGUUGUCGUCAGCUCGUGCUGUGAGGUGUCGGGUUAAGUCCCAUAACGAGCGCAACCCCUAUCCUUAGUUGCCAGCGAGUAUGUCGGGGACUCUAAGGAAACUGCCGGUGCAAACCGUGAGGAAGGUGGGGACGACGUCAAAUCAUCACGGCCCUUACGCCCUGGGCUACACACGUGCUACAAUGGCGAGUACAAAGGGCAGCUACCUGGUGACAGGAUGCUAAUCUCUAAAGCUCGUCUCAGUUCGGAUUGGAGUCUGCAACUCGACUCCAUGAAGCUGGAAUCGCUAGUAAUCGCGCAUCAGCCAUGGCGCGGUGAAUACGUUCCCGGGCCUUGUACACACCGCCCGUCAAGCCAUGGAAGCUGGGGGUGCCUGAAGUCGGUGACCGCAAGGAGCCGCCCUAGGGUAAAACUAGUGACUGGGGCUAAGUCGUAACAAGGUAGCCGUACCGGAAGGUGUGGCUGAAUCACCUCCUUU